rnacentral:tRNA from 1 species
CAGAUUAUUCUUAAAGUUAAGAAUUUUAUUUACAUUGAAAUAUUUGUUGUGCAAUUCAACGUAAUCUGA